GACGAACGCUGGCGGCGUGCUUAACACAUGCAAGUCGAACGGGCCCGCUCUCUUUUUUGGGGGUGGGUUGCGUGGCGAACGGGUGAGUAUCCCGUGAGUAACCUGCCCCCUGCUCCUGGAUAACUGCUUGAAAGGGCGGCUAAUACGGGGUGUGCCGGCUGGUCCGCAUGGGCCUGGUCGGGAUAGUUUCAUCUUCGGGUGUUUCGGUGGGGGAUGGGCUCGCGGCCUAUCAGCUUGUUGGUGGGGUGAUGGCCCACCAAGGCGGUGACGGGUAGCCGGCCUGAGAGGGUGGGCAGCCACACUGGGAGGGAGACACGGCCCAGGCGCCUGCGGGAGGGAGCAGUGGGGGGUAUGGAGGAAGGGGUGGAAGCCUGAGGCAGAGGCGUCGCGUGAGGGAUGGGGGCCGUCGGGUUGGGAACCUCUUUCUCCGGUGGUGAAGGCCCUGUCCGUUGCGGCGGGGUUGACGGUAGCCGGGUAUGAAGCGCCGGCUAACUACGUG
rnacentral:rRNA from 1 species